CACCUCCGGCCCCGGCGCCACCAAUCUGGUCUCCGGACUCGCCGAUGCCCUGCUCAACAGUGUUCCAGGAAACCCCAUCGUCGUCGAAGCCUGCCGCCGCCACCGCCGCCUUCUGCAAUUUCUGCCGUCAAGGGGAUGGGCACAGAAAACAAAUGUGAAUGUCUUGAUAUUUUGUGUGAUGUUCUGCACAAAUACGGCAAUCUAAUGGCAUCAGAUCAUGAGGUGAUGUUGGGUACACUUUUGCCCCAAUUGAACACCAAUCAAGCCAGUGUGAGAAAAAAGGCUGUUUCAUGUAUUGGUAGGAUUACUGAUCCUAAUGUACUCUAGAACGAUGUACCCUUAUGUUUUGCAUUAUCAAAUGGCCUCAUAAUAUCUUGAGAUGGUGUAAUUUAAAACUUCUGCUGCAGCAUCUCUGGCUUCAAGCUUGUCAGAUGAUUUGUUAUAGAGGCUCGAAAUCUUCUAAAUUAACUAUCCUGUUUGAUACAAUUUUAAUCGGAUUCGUCUUUCUGCAUUUGCUACUUUGUUUUAGCAAUAGAGCCCGUGAGCUGGAGAUAAGUUCAUUAAACCCCAUGCAGGCAUCUCUGGUUAGAGAAGCCAACAGACAGGUCAUGCAUAUGUUGUGAAUAAUAU